rnacentral:rRNA from 1 species
UACAGAGGUCCCAAGCGUUGUUCGGAUUCACUGGGCGUAAAGGGCUCGUAGGUGGCCAACUAAGUCAGACGUGAAAUCCCCAGGCUUAACCUGGGAACUGCGUCUGAUACUGGAUGGCUUGAAUUCGGGAGAGGGAUGCAGAAUUCCAGGUGUAGCGGUGAAAUGCGUAGAUAUCUGGAGGAAUACCGGUGGCGAAGGCGGCAUCCUGGACCGAGAUUGACACUGAUGAGCGAAAGCUAGGGGAGCAAACGGG